AGACCGAUAGCGAGCAAGUAGAGUGAUCGAAAGAUGAAAAGCACUUUGGAAAGAGAGUUAAACAGUACGUGAAAUUGUUGAAAGGGAAGCGCUUGCACCCAGACUUGCGCGCUGAUGAUCAUCCGGGCUUCUGCCCGGUGCACUCGUCUGCGCUCAGGCCAGGCAUCGGUUUCGGUGGUGGGAUAAAGGCCUUGGGAAUGUAGCUCCUCUCGGGGAGUGUUAUAGCCCUCGGUGCAAUGCCGCCUACCGGGACCGAGGACCGCGCUUCGGCUAGGAUGCUGGCGUAAUGGGUGUAAGCGACCCGUCUUGAAACACGGACCAAG
rnacentral:rRNA from 1 species